CUCAUAUCUCUGUACCCCCAAAUGCAGCCCUGCACUCAGCAGAUGCACCUGGCAGUAGUGGGAAGUGCUGUAAUGUGGUGUUCCACAUUCUCCUAAAGGGCUUUCCCCCAGCAUUUAAAAGUAAAACCCACAAAAUCCCACAGGGAGGGAAACGAUCACACAUUAAUUCUUCCCAUUUCUCCAUUUCUUUCCCAUUCCCUGCAUCCCACUGCUCCUCCUCCCCUCCCUGCAGCCAGAUUUGAGUGUGUUUUCCCAGGAUUUGUGCCCAGCAUUGGCAUUAAGUAAACUCUCCCCAGCAGCAUCUGCCUUUGCAGGACCUCACCCUUGGACAGCGGGAUAAAGCUGUGGAAAGGGACAAAUGCUUGGAGCGACCUGGGGGUCCCUGGGGAGAGACAUCCCUCCAGGGCAUAAGCUGCUGUGAAUGUGGGAGCAUGAGGAGUGGAGGCAGGAUGGGUGGAUUGCAGCAGAGGAACAGGGAGCUGGGGCUGGUCUGCUGCUGCCACUGAAGCUGCCACCAAACAUCAGCUCCAUGUGCACCUCCUGACACUCAGCAGAACAAUGAAAAGAUGGACAGAAGAAUUACAACGAGGGUGCUAAGAACACAGGGCAAAGAGAAGACAGACAUCAAUCAGCCUGAGAGGCAAAUACAUCCCAAUGAAAAGGGAAGACUCAUACAAUCAUGCAUUGAAAGGAUAAAGAUUUAUAUUACAAUAAAGGAUUUAUAUUUAAGGUUUUGGAAAAGGUUUUUCUUUUUUUUUUCUUCUUUUUUUUCCCCCCAAGUUUCAUUUUCUUGAUAUUGUAUUUCAAGAGAAAAGGAGACAACCUAUAUAGAAUUGGAUUGUUGCUGUUUUCUUAUCAUCCGUUUCUUUACCAAGAGAUUGCUCUCAUCUUUUCACAAAGCUGUAUCACCCCUAGACCUGAGGAUUGGGAUGUUAGUGUUUCAGCUUCCGUUAGGGAUAUCAAAAUCCUUUCUCAUCUCGAAAUUAACCCCAGUGUGGAGAAACUACACAAACUCCCAGCAUGGCUGUGGUCCAAAGCAGGGGUAAAGAGUGCUACCUCAUGGUCCUAAACCUGCCUACAUCUUUCCAAUCCAAUUUACAAGGUGAGGAUUCAAGAAAAGGGUGUUGCAGCUGGCUUACAUUUGUUUUCACAUGCAGAAUUUACGGGUUGUGCCUUCCUUUUGUUUUUCUUUGAAACCACAAAAUCCCAAUGCUUUGUGUAAAUUGUACACUGAAAUAAGAUGAGCCUUUUCACAAUACCAACUUACACAGAAAGGCUCUAAAAGGUGCCACAUCCUCAUCCUGAUAAAGAUCUAUCUCACACCCUCCAGGUAUCCUGUAUCACCAAGAAACUAAUCAGCCUUUCCACUGAGCCCACGAUAAUUACCCCCAGAGCUGUCUGAUCUGUCUCAGCUCAGGUCUGGACACAGCCUGCAGCUUUGGUUAGGUGCAAAAGCUGGAACUCUCUGAGACCUGAGCUUUGAUAACAUUUGUUAGGGACAAUUCUUCAAGUAUUUUCUUGAGAUUUAUCUGUCAAUGAACCAAAGUUCCCAGCAAGUUUAACUGCCACAGUUCUUCCAAUUUACUUUAAACACCCUUCAAUCAACAGCCUCUAAAGCCAAGGCCCUCUUACUAUAGAGGGUGAUUUUAACACAGGAGCAUCAUUUCUGCUCAGGAGUGCUAAAAUAUAAUUGGGGAAAAUGUCUUCCUUAGCUUUAUAAGGAUGUACUAGCUUCAUUAUUUUUUACCAGGCUUUUGAGCUCCAAAAGAGGUUUCUGAAAACAAAGCACCCUCUGCUCUCCUCAAAUCCCAGGACUUUGCAAGUUUGUGGGCACAGAGGGAGCUGGUUCAGACCUGGCUGUGGGCACUGGCACCAACUAACUGCACUUGGAGCCUGGUCCUGCUGGCACCAAAAGAGAGACACCUCCAGACACAACUGCAGCUGACCUGGCCUUCCCUCUGGAAGCAGCUCUCUUCCCACCAAUGAUGGAGACAGUUGAGAGCAACCACACCUCUGACUGAGGUGUCCCAGAUGAAGUGUCAGCCAGAGGCUAUAACCCAAAAUCAUACAGACUGAGACAUUUCAGCACUGAUAGUCCACAUACACCCAGAUCUAGUUCACAAUGUCAGUGGUGUCACAGGCAGGAC